UACGUAGGGAGCAAGCGUUGUCCGGAAUCAUUGGGCGUAAAGCGCGUGUAGGCGGUCCGGUAAGUCCGCUGUGAAAGUCGGGGGCUCAACCCUCGGAUGCCGGUGGAUACUGUCGGGCUUGAGUACGGAAGAGGCGAGUGGAAUUCCUGGUGUAGCGGUGAAAUGCGCAGAUAUCAGGAGGAACACCAAUUGCGAAGGCAGCUCGCUGGGACGUUACUGACGCUGAGACGCGAAAGUGUGGGGAGCAAACAGG
rnacentral:rRNA from 1 species